rnacentral:rRNA from 1 species
GACGAACCGUGCGAACGUUGUUCGGAAUCACUGGGCUUAAAGGGCGCGUAGGCGGCUGCACAAGUCCGGGGUGAAAGCCCCCAGCUCAACUGGGGAAGUGCCUUGGAAACUGUGUAGCUCGAGGGAGGUAGGGGUCGUGGGAACUUCCGGUGGAGCGGUGAAAUGCGUUGAUAUCGGAAGGAACGCCGGUGGCGAAGGCGGCAUCCUGGACCGACACUGACACUGAGGAGCGAAAGCCAGGGGAGCAAACAGG